GAUAGAUCGCGGCGGGUUGGUACUGCACGCCGUAGGGGAUUUUGUCUGUCAACGGAAGAUGGAGUGAAACCCUGGCGAAUAGAGACACCUGCUGAGUCCAUGGAUUAUCCCUUAGGACAACUUAUCUUCAACUGCAAUUCGUCGCCUGAAAUUCGAAGACUUUCUAUUUCGGUUGUAUGCUUGAUAACCAAUCGUCAUCGGGACAGAUCGUUGAUCGAGAAUUGGCUGCUAAUUUUCGAGGAUGAGAACGGGAGGCCAUCGAUGCAAUUGAUAAAAUGCGAUGCUAAUUAUAAAUGCGAGAAUAAUGGCGGUUCACGUGCGAGCGUGUUUCACGUUACAGAGAAGAGAAGCACUCACGGUUAUUAGUUGAUAGUGUCAGGACGCGUAUAACUAUCAUGCACGGGCAAUGCACUUAAAACUUGGCUGUUAAUCAGAAACCAAUUACGGGAGGCGGGACGAAAUGAGUUUAAUCGCAUUAAAUAUUAAAGCGUCGUCACCGUGCCAUGGGACUGACACCAACAACCAUAGGUGACCCUCUUCCUCCAUCCAGUCAUGGAGCAACCACACACUGCCACGUGCCCGUACGAAAACGCUUCUCUGCCUUAAUACCCCAGGGAAUAACCGAACAACCCUACGCCAAUGUCCUUUAUAGGGUGGUGCUUGCCGUGCCUGCAAUACGCAUGCACGACCACUGCAUUUGCUGAUAGUGCUCUUUUAUACGCCUGCGUAUGCGUGUAUCGUCGCACUUUUUCUUUCUUCCUUUUUAAAUACAUUUCUUUCCUUUUCUUCUUUUUUCUGUUAACAUAUGAAAUUCUUAUUUCGAUCGAAAUUUUUGUGAAAUAUAUUUGUUUCCCCUUAAAAAUAUUGAUGUACAGAUGUACGAAUCUUUGAUGCGCAACUUACUCUCAAAAUUUAGCUGAAAGCAGUGAUUUUCAAUCGUAAGAGGACCAAUUACAUUUUCUGGUAAAACGUAAAGGAGUCCUCUGAGCAUAGCACUUGUGUCCAGAUUUUCGGUCUCGUGCCGCGUGCAUAUUUCAGAUCGGUUUGUUUCGCGGAUGGCAACUAGAAAAUCCGAGGUAAUAUUUCACCGAGAUAUCGCGUCGCAUUACGAGUUUUAAAUUCACGUUUAGCUCGCGAUACGAAAACGAGUAUCAGCUAUACAGAAGGAGGUUGCAACAUAACACCGGUAUAAAUACAUAAAAUCGGGCAAUCAUCCUAAAUGGGAAGCCUCCUAGCGCGAGGAACGUCGUCUUUUUCGACCUGUCGUCUGUCGGCUGUCGUUUGUCGCGCAACAAGGGAGCCCUCGUGUGGUACCAAGCACGAAAAAGUACGAAACAAACCGUUUGACGAGCAUAAUUCCGUCCUCGAUUGUUCGUUGCCUUUAUUACUUUCACGUUGGAUGGAUUGUUUCUCUUGAUCCUUGAAGUACUUGAUCGUAUUAUCGGUUUUAUUUUGAUUCGAUUCUUUUCGGACGAUGUUUCGAUCAUAUUGUGGAAGAUAUUUGUAUUAUUAUUGCUGAAUGAAAAAUAAUUUCUUUCAAUAUAUACAUACAUUGGAGAUUUUUAUUUUAUAAGACCUAAUUAUAAAUGUAUACGUAUUACACGAGCACUUAUUAUGAAAUAUAUCAUUAUAUGUUUUUUAUACGUUGAAAUAUAUUUUAUAUAUAUUUUUAUA